AACGAACGCUGGCGGCAUGCCUAACACAUGCAAGUCGAACGAGACCUUCGGGUCUAGUGGCGCACGGGUGCGUAACGCGUGGGAACCUGCCCUUAGGUUCGGAAUAACUCCCCGAAAGGGGUGCUAAUACCGGAUAAUGUCUUCGGACCAAAGAUUUAUCGCCUUUGGAUGGGCCCGCGUUGGAUUAGCUAGUUGGUAGGGUAAAAGCCUACCAAGGCGACGAUCCAUAGCAGGUCUGAGAGGAUGAUCAGCCACACUGGGACUGAGACACGGCCCAGACUCCUACGGGAGGCAGCAGUGGGGAAUAUUGGACAAUGGGCGAAAGCCUGAUCCAGCAAUGCCGCGUGAGUGAUGAAGGCCCUAGGGUUGUAAAGCUCUUUUACCCGGGAUGAUAAUGACAGUACCGGGAGAAUAAGCUCCGGCUAACUCCGUG
rnacentral:rRNA from 1 species